rnacentral:lncRNA from 1 species
GGGAGUGCAAUGAACUCUGAACACUGGCUUUCACUGUUGAAAGGUUCUUACUCCCAUAAUGCAGCCUAUGCUAAGUCUCUUCAGUCGUGUCCAACUCUGUGCGACCCCAGAGACGGCAGCCCACCAGGCUCCCCUGUCCCUGGGAUUCUCCAGGCAAGAACACUGGAGUGGGUGCCAUUUCCUUCUCCAAUGCAUGAAAGUGAAAAGUGAAAGUGAAGUCGCUCAGUCGUGUCCGACUCUUUGCGACCCCAUGGACUG